GUUGAGGGAAGUUGAGCUUGGACACGUCAUGGCAGGGUCUAUGGCGCCAGCCAUGGGGUAGGCCACAAGUACAAAAUGCUGAAUUUUAGGGUUUUUAGUUCUUUUUCACUCCUUUUCUCGAUCGGGGCUCCGAUGAAAGUAAAAACCUAAAAACAAAGGAAAACAUAGCAAUAACACAACAAAAUAACAAUAAAACAACUAGAAUGCAUGUGAAAUCGGAGUCGAAAAUACGGUAAAUUUCAG
rnacentral:lncRNA from 1 species